AUUUAAACCAUAAUUCAGCCAGUAAAUUAAAGGGGAAGACUCAGUUUUAGGGAUUAGAUUUUUUUUUUUGUUUGGUUUAGCUUUCUUUCAAAACUUAAAGGUUUAUUUCUAAAAGUUUUCCCCAGAGUCCAGGUACAGUGGCUCAUGCCUGUAAUCCCAGCACUUUGGGAGGCUGAGGUGGGAGGAUUGCUUGAGGCUAGGAGUUUGAGACCAGCCUGGCAACAUGGCAAGACCCCAUGUCUACAAAAAUUUUAAAACUUAGCCAGGCAUGGUCGUGCACCUGUAGUCCCAGCUACUCAGUAGGCUGAGAUGAGAGUGUUGCCUGAGGCUGCAGUGAGGCCUGAUCAUGCUACUGCACUCAAGCCUGGGUGACAAGAGUAAGAUCCUGUCUCAAAAAGAAACUUCUGGGUAGUUCACGAGACUUGCCGAAGGCUUCCUCUUUCAUCUGGGCCACCAACAUGCCAUCCAGAAUGAGGAAGACCCAGAAACUUCGGGGCCACGUGAGCCACGGCUACGGCCCCAUUGACAAGCACCGGAAGCACCCCAGAGGCCGAGGUAAUGCUAGUGGUAUGCAUCACCACAGGAUCAACUUUGACAAAUACCACCCAGGUUACUUUAGGAAAGUUGGCAUGAGGUACCACUUAAAGAGGAACCAGAGCUUCUGCCCACCUGUCAUCCGUGACAGAUUGUGGACCUUGAUUAGUGAAUGCUGCUAAAAACAAGACUGGGGCUGCUCCCAUAACUGAUGUGGUGUGAUUGGGCUACUACAAAGUUCUGGGCAAGGGAAAGCUCCCAAAGUAACCUGUCAUCGUGAAGGCCAAAUUCUUCAGCCGAAGAGCUGAGGAGAUUAAGGGUGUCGGGGGGAGCUGUGUCCUGGUGGUUUGAAACCACAUAGAGGGAGGUUCAUUAAAUGUUAACUACUUCAAAACAAAACAAAAAACAAAACAAAACAAAAAACCUCCCCCAGGAGAAGAAUUCUAAUUUUAUCAAGCUGAAUUAAAAUUUGUCUUUUUUUUAAAAACUUACUGUGUCAAAAGAGGCAUUAUGUUGCUUGUGUGAUAGUAAAUAGUGUCCCUACAAAUUUAAUGUACCUGAAAUGUCACAAUGUGACCUUACAGUAGCCAUCCCAACCCCCACCCUUAUCUGUGGUGGAUACAUUUGCAAGAUCCCCAGUGGAUGCCUGAAACAGCGGAUAGUACUGAACCUUAUAUCUAUAUACUGUUUGUUUUCCUAUGCAUACAUACCCCUAUGAUAAAGUUUAUGAAUUUGGCACUUAAAAAUUAACAGCAGAACUAAUAAGAUGGAAGAGCUGUAACAAUAUACUCUAAUAAAAUAAUUUAAAACA